rnacentral:rRNA from 1 species
AUUGAACGCUGGCGGCAGGCCUAACACAUGCAAGUCGAGCGGUAACACAGAGAGCUUGCUCUCGGGUGACGAGCGGCGGACGGGUGAGUAAUGUCUGGGAAACUGCCUGAUGGAGGGGGAUAACUACUGGAAACGGUAGCUAAUACCGCAUAACGUCGCAAGACCAAAGAGGGGGACCUUCGGGCCUCUUGCCAUCAGAUGUGCCCAGAUGGGAUGAGCUAGUAGGUGGGGUAACGGCUCACCUAGGCGACGAUCCCUAGCUGGUCUGAGAGGAUGACCAGCCACACUGGAACUGAGACACGGUCCAGACUCCUACGGGAGGCAGCAGUGGGGAAUAUUGCACAAUGGGCGCAAGCCUGAUGCAGCCAUGCCGCGUGUAUGAAGAAGGCCUUCGGGUUGUAAAGUACUUUCAGCGGGGAGGAAGGUGCUGAGGUUAAUAACCUCAGCAAUUGACGUUACCCGCAGAAGAAGCACCGGCUAACUCCGUGCCAGCCGCCGCGGUAAGAC